AUUCCACACUCAGUGCAUAUAAAGCAGAAACCAAGUCACUACAGAAGAAGUGAGGAUAAUAAAGGCAAGAAACAAACACAGCAAGGCAAACCCAAAGAAGCUGGAGAAAACCAAGCCACAACACACAUUAUGAGGGAUUUACCAUGGCACUGAAAAUAGUUUCUGAGGUGAAAUGCCAUUGAGACCUGGCUCGAAUUAAGCUGCGGAAGUUGUUUUCAGCGCUGCAGCUCAACUCUUAAAAACAUGAGAAUCAACUGUGACAGCCAGGACCUCUUCUGAACCAAAGUAAGACACUUUUCAGUUUAGGUAGGUACUGCUUAAGUAUUUGUACAACUGCAGUGCUUAAGUCUCCAUGGUAUCUUUGCAAGGGAGAAGGAUGG